rnacentral:rRNA from 1 species
GACUACCGGGGUAUCUAAUCCUGUUUGAUACCCACACCUUCGCAGUUUAGCGUCAAUAACGGCUUAGAAGACUGCCUUCGCCUUCGGUAUUCCUCCUGAUAUCUGCGCAUUCCACCGCUACACCAGGAAUUCUGUCUUCCCCAACCGUAUUCCAGAUCUACAGUAUCUAACGCCUUACGACGGGUAAGCCGUCGCCUUUAACAUUAAACUUAUAGAUCCGCCUACCUGCCCUUUACGCCUAGUAAUUCCGGACAACGCUUGCAACCCCCGUGUUACCGCGGCUGCUGGCACGGAGUUAGCCGUUGCUUAUUCAUAUGCUAAUAUCGCUCCAAACAGACUAUUCACCUAUCUGGCAUUGCUCACAUAUAAAAGAACUUUACACCCCGAAGGGCUUCUUCGUUCACGCGGCGUCGCACUAUCAGUCUUUCGACCAUUGUAGACUAUUCUCGACUGCAGCCCCCCGUAGG